rnacentral:rRNA from 1 species
GUCCACGCUGUAAACGAUAAUCACUAGAUGUUAGUCUGGCUUGCUGGAUUAGUGUCGUAGCUAACGCGUUAAGUGAUUCGCCUGGGAAGUACGGUCGCAAGGCUAAAACUUAAAGGAAUUGACGGGGGUCCGCACAAGCGGUGGAACAUGUGGUUUAAUUCGACACUCCGCGAGGAACCUUACCUGGGUUUGACAUACUUGUGACAGUCACAGAGAUGUGACGUUCUUGGCUUCGGUCAAGACACAAGAACAGGUGCUGCAUGGCUGUCGU